rnacentral:rRNA from 1 species
AUUGAACGCUGGCGGCAGGCCUAACACAUGCAAGUCGAGCGGAUGAGGAGUGCUUGCACUCCGAUUCAGCGGCGGACGGGUGAGUAAUGCCUAGGAAUCUGCCCGAUAGUGGGGGACAACGUUUCGAAAGGAACGCUAAUACCGCAUACGUCCUACGGGAGAAAGUGGGGGAUCUUCGGACCUCACGCUAUCGGAUGAGCCUAGGUCGGAUUAGCUAGUUGGUGAGGUAAUGGCUCACCAAGGCUACGAUCCGUAACUGGUCUGAGAGGAUGAUCAGUCACACUGGAACUGAGACACGGUCCAGACUCCUACGGGAGGCAGCAGUGGGGAAUAUUGGACAAUGGGCGAAAGCCUGAUCCAGCCAUGCCGCGUGUGUGAAGAAGGUCUUCGGAUUGUAAAGCACUUUAAGUUGGGAGGAAGGGCUGUAGGCUAAUAUCCUGCAGUUUUGACGUUACCAACAGAAUAAGCACCGGCUAACUUCGUGCCAGCCGCCGCGGUAA